GCCCGGUUAGCUCAAUCGGUAGAGCGUGAGACUCUUAAUCUCAAGGUUGCGGGUGAGUAGCUUCUUCAGAAAGUUAAAAAAUAGUACCAAAAUACUAAUUCUGUACCAUAGGUUCGACCCCCGCAUCGGGCU